rnacentral:sRNA from 1 species
AGAAAGAAUAAUGGCCCAUUCAACAGCUGACUCCUACAGACAUUUUGACUAAGAUGCCUGUUGCAGUUCCCCUGAGCAACUUAACAACUGUGUUUUCAAGGUUAAACUCAAGAACCAAUCAGUUAUCUGUAAAUGAAUAUCCAACUUUUCUGGAAGGAAAAAGAACGAAUCAAUCAUCUCUUUCUAUUCCCUGUGUUAAGUUCAUCUCAGUCAGAGAAAUCACUGUCUGAGGGCUUGAAUCUCCUGGAAAACUGUAAGCUACCUGGAAGCAGAGAUGCAUAUUAUUUAUUUUUGUAUCGCAUAUAAUUAGUACACGGAGAAGGUCAAUGAAUAGGAGAAGAUGAAGAAAAUUAUUUCCUCUUUAGGAUAUACAAAAGCAUUGAAAAAAUAAAGCAUUCUAAAGCGC